rnacentral:snRNA from 1 species
GUGCUCGCUUUGGCAGCACAUGUACUAGAAUUGGAACGAUACAGAGAAGAUUAACAUGGCCCCUGCACAAGGAUGACACGCAAAUUCGUGAAGUGUUUCAUAAUUUU